rnacentral:rRNA from 1 species
GGCUACACAUGCAAGUCGAGCGGCAGCGGGAAGAUAGCUUGCUAUCUUUGCCGGCCAGCGGCGGACGGGUGAGUAAUGCCUAGGGAUCUGCCCAGUCGAGGGGGAUAACAGUUGGAAACGACUGCUAAUACCGCAUACGCCCUACGGGGGAAAGGAGGGGACCGUCGGGCCUUCCGCGAUUGGAUGAACCUAGGUGGGAUUAGCUAGUUGGUGAGGUAAUGGCUCACCAAGGCGACGAUCCCUAGCUGUUCUGAGAGGAUGAUAAGCCACACUGGGACUGAGACACGGCCCAGACUCCUACGGGAGGCAGCAGUGGGGAAUAUUGCACAAUGGGGGAAACCCUGAUGCAGCCAUGCCCCGUGUGUGAAGAAGGCCUUCGGGUUGUAAAGCACUUUCAGUAGGGAGGAAAGGUAGCAGCUUAAUACGCUGUUGCUGUGACGUUACCUACAGAAGAAGGACCGGCUAACUCCUUGCCAGCAGCCGCGGUAAUACGGAGGGUCCGAGCGUUGAUCGGAAUUACUGGGCGUAAAGCGUGCGCAGGCGGUUUGUAAAGCGAGAUGUGAAACCCCCGGGCUCAACCUGGGAAUUGCAUUUCGAACUGGCGAACUAGAGUCUUGUAGAGGGGGGUAGAAUUCCAGGUGUAGCGGUGAAAUGCGUAGAGAUCUGGAGGAAUACCGGUGGCGAAGGCGGCCCCCUGGACAAAGACUGACGCUCAGGCACGAAAGCGUGGGGAGCAAACAGGAUUAGAUAACCUGGUAGUCCACGCCGUAAACGAUGUCUACUCGGAGUUUGGUGUCUUGAACACUGGGCUCUCAAGCUAACGCAUUAAGUAGACCGCCUGGGGAGUACGGCCGCAAGGUUUAAACUCAAAUGAAUUGACGGGGGCCCGCACAAGCGGUGGAGCAUGUGGUUUAAUUCGAUGCAACGCGAAGAACCUUACCUACUGUUGACAUCCACAGAAUUCGCUAGAGAUAGCUUAGUGCCUUCGGGAACUGUGAGACAGGUGCUGCAUGGCUGUCGUCAGCUCGUGUUGUGAAAUGUUGGGUUAAGUCCCGCAACGAGCGCAACCCCUAUCCUUAUUUG